CUUAAAGAGGAAGCAGCCAUUUUUAUGUUCAACAUUCGGCAACCCUAAUCCCUUUAAUUAGUGUUCCGAAGGCUCACUUGGGUUGGAAAUCGUCGGAGAUCCCUUCACACUAUCCAACUAUGGUUUCGAUACUUUAAAGGGUUGGCCCUUAUGGUUGGCAAAUUGGCCUUGCAAAUGGUCUAUAUUCGUCCACAUGGCUGUUUACACGAACGUGAGACUUCUGUUACUUAGAAAGUUCUUAAAGUUUCAGAAAUUUUUAUGUGAAACCAGUUUAGUCUCGAACCUUCUUAAAAUCAUGUUUUAGAUCGACCUAUUUAAGGGACAAUGUGAUUAUGAAUGAAUGUGAUAUGAUGA